CAGAGGUUGCGAUUGGCGUCCAAAUAGCUUGAUGCAUGUACUAAACAUUCAUAACCUCGAAACAGUCACAAUGUUGAAACCAAGUGCAGAGUAUAAUCGAAGAGCCAUGAUUAUUGAAAGUGUUUGUGCUGGACACUCAGCGAUAGAAAUCAUUUGAUUCUUCAGGUACCCAGGAUUGACUGUGUAUGAUGUUGUCACAAAGUAUAACGACUUGAAAAGUCCAAUGAAGGUUUGGCAACACCGGCAAGGAAACCUCGCUCAAAGGAGCAGUUGUCAGGAUGCCUGAAAUCAUUCAACAGGCUCAGGAGAUGAUUUUUGAGGAUCCAGGGCAAUCGAUUCGAAAAUUGUCAUCGGUUGUCAAUGUGAGUGAAAAAACUGUGUCAAAUCAUCGAGGAGGACCUCCAUUACAAGUCUUAUACAAUUAAAGUGAGAACAGAUGCUUUCUGAAGCUACCAGGAAAAAGCGAGUUGAACACUGUAAUUUGCUUUUGUGUUCUUAUGAAACAAUGCUGCCAGACACCUCAGGUUUUUUUUCUGACAAAAAUAUUUUUACUGUCAAUGAGAAAAUCAAUCAAAGAAAUGAUUGCUGGCUCACCCAUGAUCCUGAAGAUAGUCCCCAUUGUUUCUAGAAUGAAAUUUCCAGUGAAUGUUCAUGUACUAAGUGUUGCGUCCAGUGAGGAUGAUGUCAUGCCACCACAUUUCUUUAACAAAGGGGAAAAUGUCACAAAAGAAAUUUAUUUGCAUCUUCU
rnacentral:lncRNA from 1 species